UCCUACGGGAGGCAGCAGUAGGGAAUCUUCCGCAAUAGACGAAAGUCUGACGGAGCAACGCCGCGUGAGUGAUGAAGGCUUUCGGGUCGUAAAACUCUGUUGUUAGGGAAGAACAAGUGCUAGUUGAAUAAGCUGGCACCUUGACGGUACCUAACCAGAAAGCCACGGCUAACUACGUGCCAGCAGCCGCGGUAAUACGUAGGUGGCAAGCGUUAUCCGGAAUUAUUGGGCGUAAAGCGCGCGCAGGUGGUUUCUUAAGUCUGAUGUGAAAGCCCACGGCUCAACCGUGGAGGGUCAUUGGAAACUGGGAGACUUGAGUGCAGAAGAGGAAAGUGGAAUUCCAUGUGUAGCGGUGAAAUGCGUAGAGAUAUGGAGGAACACCAGUGGCGAAGGCGACUUUCUGGUCUGUAACUGACACUGAGGCGCGAAAGCGUGGGGAGCAAACAGGAUUAGAUACCCUGGUAGUCCACGCCGUAAACGAUGAGUGCUAAGUGUUAGAGGGUUUCCGCCCUUUAGUGCUGAAGUUAACGCAUUAAGCACUCCGCCUGGGGAGUACGGCCGCAAGGCUGAAACUCAAAGGAAUUGACGGA
rnacentral:rRNA from 1 species